rnacentral:snRNA from 12 species
UGGGGUACCGUGAUCAUGAGGAUGGUUCCCCAGGGCAAGGCUUCUCCUUUGUACUCUGGGUGGCUGUGUUGACACCUUCGAUUUCCCCAAAUAUGAAAAACUCAA